CACCUCUAGCAUUUCUAGUAUUAGAGGCACCGCCUGCCCAGUGACUUACGUUAAACGGCCGCGGUAUUCUGACCGUGCAAAGGUAGCAUAAUCAUUUGUUUCUUAAUUAGGGACUUGUAUGAAUGGCAUCACGAGGGCUUAACUGUCUCUUACAGCUAAUCCAUGAAAUUGACCUUUCCGUGAAGAGGCGGAAAUUAAAAAAUAAGACGAGAAGACCCUAUGGAGCUUUAACUUAACUAAUUCACAAUUAGCAGCCUACUUACCCCUAAGGGGUUAAUUUAUCUAAACCUGAAUUAAAAGUUUUGGUUGGGGUGACCUCGGAGAAUAACAAAUCCUCCGAAAGACUUAAAUUUAGACUCACUGGUCAAGAUUAAUAAAUGUCACAAUUGACCCAGAGAUAUCUGAUCAAUGGACCAAGUUACCCUAGGGAUAACAGCGCAAUCUCACUUGAGAGUCCAUAUCGAUAGUGGGGUUUACGACCUCGAUGUUGGAUCAGGACAUCCUAAUGGUGCAGCAGCUAUUAAGGGUUCGUUUGUUCAACGAUUAAAGUCCU
rnacentral:rRNA from 1 species